UAAUUUUCAUGCACAAGAAGCAAUGGAUGAUAUUUUUAUCUCUCAGGUAUUAAGUUCUUACAUGAGAAGAUGAACAUGAUGUUUGAAGUAGAUGUUACCACAAACUAUAGUGGGCCUCAUGGAUCUAUGCGUUCCACCUGAAGCCAGCUACAACUCUUACCAAGGAUUCUAGUCCAACAUCCUAUUGGAUUGAGUGUGGGCUUCCCUCCAUUGGAGAAUAUGAUAGACAUGAAGUUACUGUGAGUUGAAUUGAAUAUACUACUAUCCUUGGUAUAUAUAACAAUGUCAAUGCUCUCUUGUUUCAUUCAUUUUAUGAAGUACAUUGCUUGGCUGAUGCAUCAGGAUACUAAGAAAUUGCUUGAUUUCUAGUGAAAUCCCAAAAUUUAUUAACGACAACAUGAAGAAUCUCAAAACCCUGGGCUUAUGAUGAGGAAGAAUCUGCAGCAAGGGCUUACAAUCUGACCACAAUUGCUCCAGAACUCAAGUGGACAACACCACAGGAAACAAUUACAAUUAAAAAGUUCUUGUGGCCACAAGUUUUGAAUCAAGCUGAUUUAUGUGUUUUCCCUUCAACCACGUCCUUGUGACUUUAUAGACAGGCACCAUCACAAUGGCAGAUGGGAAGUAAGGAUUGGAAGGGUUUUCAGAAACAAGUACCUCUACCUUGGAACUUACAGU